GACGAACGCUGGCGGCGUGCUUAACACAUGCAAGUCGAACGGAAAGGCCCCUUUGGGGGUCCUCGAGUGGCGCACGGGUGAGUAACACGUGAGUAACCUGCCCUUGACUUCGGGAUAACUUCAGGAAACUGGGGCUAAUACCGGAUAGGAAUCCUUGCUGCAUGGUGGGGGUUGGAAAGCUUCGGCGGUUUUGGAUGGACUCGCGGCUUAUCAGCUUGUUGGUGGGGUAGUGGCUUACCAAGGCUUUGACGGGUAGCCGGCCUGAGAGGGCGACCGGCCACAUUGGGACUGAGAUACGGCCCAGACUCCUACGGGAGGCAGCAGGGGGGAAUAUUGCACAAUGGGCGGAAGCCUGAUGCAGCAACGCCGCGUGCGGGAUGACGGCCUUCGGGUUGUAAACCGCUUUCAGCAGGGGCGAAGCUUGUGGUGACGGUACCUGCAGAAGAAGCACCGGCUAACUACGUG
rnacentral:rRNA from 1 species